rnacentral:rRNA from 1 species
GACGAACGCUGGCGGCGUGCUUAACACAUGCAAGUCGAACGGUGAAGCGCCUUCCUUUUUGGUGGGUGUGGAUGAGUGGCGAACGGGUGAGUAACACGUGAGUAACCUGCCCCCUUCUUCUGGAUAACCGCAUGAAAGUGUGGCUAAUACGGGAUAUUCUGGGUCUGUCGCAUGAUGGGUCUGGGAAAGAUAUUGUUUCGGUGGGGGAUGGGCUCGCGGCCUAUCAGCUUGUUGGUGGGGUGAUGGCCUACCAAGGCGGUGACGGGUAGCCGGCCUGAGAGGGUGGACGGUCACACUGGGACUGAGACACGGCCCAGACUACUACGGGAGGCAGCAGUGGGGAAUAUUGCACAAUGGGCGCAAGCCUGAUGCAGCGACGCCGCGUGAGGGAUGGAGGCCUUCGGGUUGUGAACCUCUUUCGCCAGUGAAGCAGGCCUGCCUCGUUUGUGGGUGGGUUGACGGUAGCUGGACAAGAAGCGCCGGCUAACUACGUG